AGUGAACGCUGGCGGUAGGCCUAACACAUGCAAGUCGAACGGCAGCACAGUAAGAGCUUGCUCGUACGGGUGGCGAGUGGCGGACGGGUGAGGAAUACAUCGGAAUCUACUUUUUCGUGGGGGAUAACGUAGGGAAACUUACGCUAAUACCGCAUACGACCUACGGGUGAAAGCAGGGGAUCUUCGGACCUUGCGCGAUUGAAUGAGCCGAUGUCGGAUUAGCUAGUUGGCGGGGUAAAGGCCCACCAAGGCGACGAUCCGUAGCUGGUCUGAGAGGAUGAUCAGCCACACUGGACCUGAGACACGGUCCAGACUCCUACGGGAGGCAGCAGUGGGGAAUAUUGGACAAUGGGCGCAAGCCUGAUCCAGCCAUACCGCGUGGGUGAAGAAGGCCUUCGGGUUGUAAAGCCCUUUUGUUGGGAAAGAAAAGCAGCAGGUUAAUACCCCGCUGUUCUGACGGUACCCAAAGAAUAAGCACCGGCUAACUUCGUG
rnacentral:rRNA from 1 species